GAGUUGCUGCAGAAUUAGAGAUUCCUGUGUGCCAGGCACUGCCAUAAGCCCUUUGUUACAUCUAGCAACUCCUUUUAAUCCUUACAACAGACCAAUAAAAUAUCUCAUUGUUACAGCUGAUGUAAAUAAUUUGCACCAGGCCAGGUCUCAAAGUUAGUUGUAGCCUUGAACCCAGGUAAUGAUGACGUCAGUAUCACUCCCCUUACUCAUGAACUGAAAGGAAAAUCAGAGGCAUCACAAGAGAUCAAAUAAUGUUAGUCACAAGUGAUGUACCUGUUAUCUUUGUGGUGCUUUAUUCUUCAAGAUAGCUGGAAAUUGAUGACCUACACCUAAUUAAACAGAAACAAAUUUCUAAGAAAAAAGCUAAGCAAGUUUCUAAGAAGUUGCCUUAAUGUGCCCUUCUGAAUGUCCAGGUUCAGGCACUGUCAGUUAUAAGUUGUUUGGAUAUUUUCUCCAAAGUGCUGAAUACGAUAUAGCAGGGCCCUGAGAGGUUAUUGACGUGCUCGAGGCUACCUUACUCAUGCAUUGAAGACCUCCAGGUACAUAUUCUAUAAACGUCGUGUUCUUUCUCUCUCUUCCCAGCUAUUUCUGUUUCUUGUGUCAAGUUGGUGUGCCUUCGCUGCUCUCGUUACAUGUUUGAAGGUGUCAGAUAGCAUAUGUCAUUGAGUGCUUUAGCUCUAGGCUAGUCUUUUUCUCUUUUCCAUUGUCCAGGUCCCCCUAUUCCUUUUAACAUUUCCCUGUGCUCCUUUGGCGCUUCCCUAGUAGUUCAGCUGGUAAAGAAUCCACCUGCAAUGCAGGAGAUCCCAGUUCGAUCCCUGGGU
rnacentral:lncRNA from 1 species